CUGAUGCCGAAAUGUUCAUUCGCUUAGAAACGUCUUUUAAAUACUCUUUCCUUUCGUCUCUAAACGCUAUUCGAAUUCUUCUCACAUCUUUAUCACAGUGAAUCGAGAGAAAGUGGAGUGCGAAUUCCUUCCCUUUUGAAGGAAGCUUACAUCAUCAACGCCAGUUUCUUGUACUCGACAGAAAUUUGGAUUUUUUUUUUUAACCAAGAAUGAAAAAUAAUUUUGUCGAAUCUUGUUAGAAUGUUCUCGCUUAGAAUGUACCAUGGAUAAACUUGUAUGGAAUAUUAAUUCGCGCAUAAACAAUGUUACGAUAUGUAGAGCGAGCCGAGUGAUAAAGACUUCUGCGGUGGACGGGUCAAGGCCACGCGAACGAGAGUAACUGAGAUAUUUUUUCAUCGCGAGUAUCUAUCAAUACUCGUGCGAAGAGUGUGAUCCAUUUUUCAACGGUGAUAUUAUUUUCGUGCUAUUUUUGUUGGCAGGUAAAAAUGUGUGUUUACUGAAGGAAUGAAAACCGAGGAGCUCUCGAGUGGUUCCUGAGGAUCUAACGAAAAACAGCAGAAAUGACAGUUGGUGGUUGAAAAUGUGCGACAACGCGUUCGUCGUUGGAACGUGGAAAUACAAAAAUCUCGCUCAAGUCCCACUCGCACGAGAUUGUCAACGGAUGAAGCUGUCUAAUUUUACAACGGACCGCGGCUCCAUCCAUAAUUCGUAUUCCAACGACCGAGCUUGCAGAUCCUUCGACGUUGUGAUUAGCGAUGUAAUGAAAUGUGGCGAAAUUAACUGUCACUGGUGCACGUUGAAAGGGGCGAAUGAAUUUCAGUCGAGCGCAGCGAUCAUAACUGAUCGAAUGCGGUGAUGGCUGACAACGACUUUUUCGACUUUCUCAGGCGAGUUUCGAUACCUCCAAGAGACGAAACGAUCGAUUUUCUUUCAUUUACGUUUCAUGUAACAAUCCAUAUUGAAAAGUUUCAUUUUUCACUUCAUUGACGUACUUUUGAGGCCGUGGCUAUUAAAACGGUAAUUGCGAUUUUCCGUUCCAAUUUUCAGGUUCCAGGACGAAGCGUUCCCGUGAUCGAACACGCCAAAUGCUGGGGCAUUUGAGUAAUUAAAUUUCCAAUCCAAAAAGACAGUAUGGCAGGGCACAUUAGUCGAGAUUGUGAAAAUGUGAAAAUUGAAAUAAAACAUUUUGAUUUCGAUGCGUCUCAGUGAUCGGGUUACUCCAACUCUCGUCUUCGUGACAGUGGAAGCGAAAAAAGACGAGGCAACUGGCAGGGUGCGACUACAGCCGGCAUCGGAAUGGACCAAUUUCGUUUUGCCUGGAACAAUUAAGUGAAAGAAUCUUCGUCUAAUUGGAGAACAUUUCAUGGGCACUUGAUGAGGCGCAGUAAAGCAAAGGCAAAAGCUAAACGAAUAUUUCGUAGGUCAAAUCUGGAGAGUACGUGAAGCUAUGAAAAGCGUGGAGGUGGAAAAAAAGCGUUUCUGGAAGAUGAACAUGCGACUUUGUGGCUCGGAACCAUUCAGCGAAAUCCAUCCGUGUUCGUCGUGAGCAAAAAGACCUUUUUAACACACGCAGUUUAUGUAAAGUGUGAAAAUGUAGUCGCACCGACACUGGGUUCGCAAUACGUGAAAAUAAUCUGGCAGCAUCGAAACAGGCAACAUGCUAGCGACUUGUUGAGUGGUGAAACUUCAAAAAAAUCGAAGAGAAAGUAUAGAAAAACAUUUUAGUCGUACACUAGACUACCGGGGUCCUUCGAUUCUUUAUUUUUCGAUGAGAAAUCGUGCAGUGAAGUGACGAGAAAAAAUCGUAGUUUUAUAAGAUGACGUCAAUGCUGAUUACAAGUUUUUCGUUCUAGAGAAUGCUGUCGUAACUGCGGUGAAAAGUUUCCUUCGUCGUUCAUUUUUACCUUCGGUCUAAUCUUGAGAAAAACUUUUCAUUUCGAAAAGUGGUUGUUAAAUUAAACGAAGAAAAACAUUUCGAAAGUGGUUGUUAAAUAAAAACUUUGAACUUAUUGAGAAUUUAAUGAGAAUUGUUUCCCACGUGAGACUGUUAAGAUAAUUAUUUGACAGCACGUAGUGGUGAAAUGAUUUCUCAAGUUGCAUUUCUCAAUUCUGUGAAAACUCAAGUUAACCCUUAUGAAUAUAAUUUUUGAAUAAAAUUUGAGAGUCUCAAGAAUAAUGACAUAAAACUCGGUAGAUUUUCAUAGACUAAAUCCGUUUAAAAAACCCCUUUUUCUCUUUUUUUCCACUGCCAUUUCGUCCACUUAGAAAUUCAAUAAAGAGUCAUCGAGUUGUGAAAUCGAGGGUGAAAGAACAAAACCACAACGAAAAGAGAAAUAAAAUGAAUCUUGGCAAAGUAGUCGUUUUUUUUGUGCUCGGUCCUGCAUGCGUGAGAUGAGGAAGACGUUGGUAGUCUCGAGAGCCAGGAAGACGACAGACGUAAAACCGGGUACGACGACGAUAAAAUGUCCGAGCUUGU
rnacentral:lncRNA from 1 species